rnacentral:lncRNA from 1 species
ACAGGUGGCAUCAAUAUUGUGGUCAUGAGUCAAGGGUCGAAUGGCUCAGAUAUGCAGAGGCCGACUGACGACUCUCCAUCGAGCCCGAAAGUGGAAACUUCUUUACUUUUGAAAUCAAAUGUCGAUCGACUCUGGGAGCAAUAUCGCAUCCUGAGAGAAGGAACCCCUAGCCAUCGAAGAGAAGAAAACUAAAGGAGACGAAAAAUGAUUCAAAGAAGACAAAGAACUUAACCUGAAACUCAAAGAAGAAGACGAGGAAGAAAGAAAAGUCUUCAAAUGCUGGGAC